rnacentral:misc_RNA from 1 species
GGAACUCCUGAGGCGCCAGCCCUCAGGUUCAUUCAGGAACUGAUUUGACUCUAUAUAACUCCGGAGACUCACAAUCACUUUGACCAACUUUGCAUCACCUCGAUCUUUCAAUGCAGUUAGAAAAUCUCUAGUAAUAAUAUCCAGCAGCUUUCUGAAUUGUGUCUUAUAUCUUUUGUGUAGAGCAAAACCUGCCAUUUCAAGAAAAGCCUGCAAUGCAGCUGCGGUGUAUAAAUUUGCAGGAAAAACAUUUAAGAAUCUGGCUAUCCAUGCCCAACCUUCUCUGAUCCCAUGCAAGUUUUGGCAGCCG